rnacentral:lncRNA from 1 species
UAGUUUUGGACGAUUCUCGAAGGCACCGAUCUGAUUUCUGAUUCCAAAAAAGUGGAAUUGAUGAUUUUUGGUUCCACAUGAAACCACCCGUCCGGAUCGGAUGAUAAUCUUUAUUUUUGGAACCUAAGUAUCGUACUCUCUCUCUCUCUCUCUCUGCGCGAGGCCUCCCGCAUUUUGUCACUUGACAUGCGAGUCGCAGCUGCUCUCCCACCGUUCAUGUUCGGUCACCGUUCUCUCUCUCUCUCUCUCUCUCUCUCUCUGACUCCGAAUCCGUCGCCACGUCCCUCUCUCGUUUAAAAACCGGACCUAUCUUUUAACCAAGUGGCGUGCAGCAGGAACUCUCUGUCUCUCUCUCUGUGUCGGUAGAGUGGAGCCAUCUUUUGCAAGGAUCAAAGCUGAAGACUUGUGGCUGGAAGUUGAGCUUAAAAUGUAAGCGGACGUGGCUGUCGUUGGCUACAAGUCAAGGGGCUGCCCUAGCAAGUUUUGGCAAAGGGGAAAAGACUGAAGUCUUUGCUGAAAAAAUUGCAGGGAGCAGAGGGGUAAAAAAUGAAGAUGCGGAGGAAAGUGAAAGGGGGAAUGGAGUGAGAUAUCAGGCAAAAGGGAGAGACCCUGGAGGGUCUUCCUGAGGUGGGGCGGGGGGAGGACCCAAAAGGAUCGGGAGCUUGCUGAGGGAGAGGGAGCUCGACUGGGAACACGAAGUGAGGUGAGGUCAUUUUGUGUGAAGCUUCUCGAGCUCUUCUGGCCGUUUCUACGGCAGUUCUCUUCUCUUGGCCGAGAAAGUCGAGAAAG